rnacentral:rRNA from 1 species
CCUACGGGUGGCAGCAGUGGGGAAUAUUGGGCAAUGGGCGCAAGCCUGACCCAGCAACGCCGCGUGAAGGAAGAAGGCUUUCGGGUUGUAAACUUCUUUUAUCAGGGACGAAGCAAGUGACGGUACCUGAUGACUAAGCCACGGCUAACUACGUGCCAGCAGCCGCGGUACUACGUAGGUGGCAAGCGUUAUCCGGAUUUACUGGGUGUAAAGGGCGUGUAGGCGGGAGUGCAAGUCAGAUGUGAAAACUAUGGGCUCAACCCAUAGCCUGCAUUUGAAACUGUACUUCUUGAGUGCUGGAGAGGCAAUCGGAAUUCCGUGUGUAGCGGUGAAAUGCGUAGAUAUACGGAGGAACACCAGUGGCGAAGGCGGAUUGCUGGACAGUAACUGACGCUGAGGCGCGAAAGCGUGGGGAGCAAACAGGAUUAGAUACCCCGGUAGUC